AAAUAUAGAGGUCGCGUUGAUUAAGAGUAGCUGUUUUGAUGUAGACGGAUACAGAUGAUGACAGCAAAAGGAUGAAACGCCGAAGGAUAUAGUAUUCCGUUAUAUUAUAUUCUGGGCAUACGAUUAAUAGUCGUGUGACUGUCAUCUUUUGCAGAUGGAGAGCUAUGUUA
rnacentral:ncRNA from 1 species